rnacentral:rRNA from 1 species
AACGAACGCUGGCGGCAUGCCUAACACAUGCAAGUCGAACGAGACCUUCGGGUCUAGUGGCGCACGGGUGCGUAACGCGUGGGAACCUGCCGUUAGGUUCGGAAUAACUCCCCGAAAGGGGUGCUAAUACCGGAUAAUGUCUUCGGACCAAAGAUUUAUCGCCUUUGGAUGGGCCCGCGUUGGAUUAGCUAGUUGGUAGGGUAAAAGCCUACCAAGGCGACGAUCCAUAGCUGGUCUGAGAGGAUGAUCAGCCACACUGGGACUGAGACACGGCCCAGACUCCUACGGGAGGCAGCAGUGGGGAAUAUUGGACAAUGGGCGAAAGCCUGAUCCAGCAAUGCCGCGUGAGUGAUGAAGGCCUUAGGGUUGUAAAGCUCUUUUACCCGGGAUGAUAAUGACAGUACCGGGAGAAUAAGCUCCGGCUAACUCCGUG